rnacentral:rRNA from 1 species
AUUGAACGCUGGCGGCAGGCCUAACACAUGCAAGUCGAGCGGCAGCGGGAAAGUAGCUUGCUACUUUUGCCGGCGAGCGGCGGACGGGUGAGUAAUGCCUGGGGAUCUGCCCAGUCGAGGGGGAUAACAGUUGGAAACGACUGCUAAUACCGCAUACGCCCUACGGGGGAAAGGAGGGGACCUUCGGGCCUUUCGCGAUUGGAUGAACCCAGGUGGGAUUAGCUAGUUGGUGGGGUAAUGGCUCACCAAGGCGACGAUCCCUAGCUGGUCUGAGAGGAUGAUCAGCCACACUGGAACUGAGACACGGUCCAGACUCCUACGGGAGGCAGCAGUGGGGAAUAUUGCACAAUGGGGGAAACCCUGAUGCAGCCAUGCCGCGUGUGUGAAGAAGGCCUUCGGGUUGUAAAGCACUUUCAGCGAGGAGGAAAGGUUGAUGCCUAAUACGUAUCAACUGUGACGUUACUCGCAGAAGAAGCACCGGCUAACUCCGUGCCAGCAGCCGCGGUAACAC